AGCGAACGCUGGCGGCAGGCCUAACACAUGCAAGUCGAACGAACCCUUCGGGGUUAGUGGCGGACGGGUGAGUAACACGUGGGAACGUGCCUUUAGGUUCGGAAUAACUCAGGGAAACUUGUGCUAAUACCGAAUGUGCCCUUCGGGGGAAAGAUUUAUCGCCUUUAGAGCGGCCCGCGUCUGAUUAGCUAGUUGGUGAGGUAAUGGCUCACCAAGGCUACGAUCAGUAGCUGGUCUGAGAGGAUGACCAGCCACAUUGGGACUGAGACACGGCCCAAACUCCUACGGGAGGCAGCAGUGGGGAAUCUUGCGCAAUGGGCGAAAGCCUGACGCAGCCAUGCCGCGUGGAUGAUGAAGGUCUUAGGAUUGUAAAAUCCUUUCACCGGUGAAGAUAAUGACUGUAGCCGGAGAAGAAGCCCCGGCUAACUCUGUGCCAGCAGCCGCAGUAACAC
rnacentral:rRNA from 1 species